GAUGAACGCUGGCGGCGUGCCUAAUACAUGCAAGUCGAGCGAACAGACGAGGAGCUUGCUCCUCUGACGUUAGCGGCGGACGGGUGAGUAACACGUGUAUAACCUACCUAUAAGACUGGGAUAACUUCGGGAAACCGGAGCUAAUACCGGAGAAUAUAUUGAACCGCAUGGUUCAAUAGUGAAAGACGGUGUUGCGGUCACGUAUAGAUGGAUCCGCGCCGGAUUAGCUAGUUGGUAAGGUAACGGCUUACCAAGGCAACGAUGCGUAGCCGACCUGAGGGGGUGAUCGGCCACACUGGAACUGAGACACGGUCCAGACUCCUACGGGAGGCAGCAGUAUGGAAUCUUCCGCAAUGGGCGAAAGCCUGACGGAGCAACGCCGCGCGAGUGAUGACGGUCCUCGGAUCGUAAAACUCUGUUAUUAGGGAAGAACCACUGUGUAAGUAACUAUGCACGUCUUGACGGUACCUAAUCAGAAAGCCCCGGCUAACUACGUG
rnacentral:rRNA from 1 species